AUGCAGCAAAAGAUUGUCAUGAAAGUGCAACUAAACUCUGAGAAGUGCAGAACCAAGGCCUUGAAGAUUGCUGCAAAGGCCAAAGGUGUGAGCAAAGUGUCCAUAUAAGUAGACAAAGGGCAGGUGGAGGUGAUCGGAAAUGGAGUUGAUGUCGUUUGCUUGGCCAAGUUGUUGAAGAACAAGCUUGGCUUCGCCACCAUAGUAGUUGUUGAAGAAGUGAAAAAAUCAGCUGACGAAAAACCAGCGGUUCCAAUUCCAUGGACAUCAAGCUAUGUUCACUAUCCACUGUGUCAUGUGCACCAUGUUCUACCGAUACUAAAAUAAGCACUUUUACUUGAGUUCUUUUCUUCUCAGUGAUAUAGAAAAUAGAUAACCCAAGUGUAACAACUUUUAUUAUUUAAUAAAGAAUUUAUAGUUCAAGUGAUUAAAAA